GUGAGGAAUUUUCCGCAAUGGGCGAAAGCCUGACGGAGCAAUGCCGCGUGAAGGAUGAAGGCCUAUGGGUUGUAAACUUCUUUUCUCAGAAAAGAAUUAUGACGGUAUCUGAGGAAUAAGCAUCGGCUAACUCUGUGCCAGCAGCCGCGGUAAGACGGAGGAUGCAAGCGUUAUCCGGAAUGAUUGGGCGUAAAGCGUCUGUAGGUUGUUUAAAAAGUAUUCUGUCAAAGAUUAGGGCUUAACCCUAGAUAGGCAGAAUAAACUUUUAAGCUAGAGUUUGGUAGAGGCAGAGGGAAUUCCCGGUGGAGCGGUGAAAUGCGUAGAUAUCGGGAGGAACACCAAAGGCGAAGGCACUCUGCUGGGCCAAUACUAACACUGAGAGACGAAAGCGAGGGGAGCAAAUGGGAUUAGAAACCCCUGUAGUCC
rnacentral:rRNA from 1 species